rnacentral:ncRNA from 1 species
AUAAAGUUUUGGUCCUAAACUUGCCAUUGUUUUUAAUCAAGAUUACACAUGCAAGCCUCCACAUACCAGUGAGAAUGCCCACAAACCCCUAAACAGCAAAAUGGAGCAGGUAUCAGGCCCAACACCCUCUAACUUAGCCAAAAACACCUUGCUACGCCACACCCCCACGGGCACUCAGCAGUGAUUAACAUUAAAAUAUAAGCGAAAGCUCGACUUGGUUAUGAUUUAUAUAGCCGGUAAAUUUCGUGCCAGCCACCGCGGUUAUACGAAAGGCUAAAAACAAUGGCCCACGGCGUAAAGCGUGACUAAAGUAAAAUCAAAAACUUUAAAGGAGAACCCCCACAAAGCCGUAAAACGCCACUACGAGAUGGAACUACACCGACAAAACGCCUUUAAACAAAAGAUUCCCCAACCUCACGAAAACUAAGAAACAAACUGGGAUUAGAUACCCCACUAUGCUUAGCCAUAAACAAAGACAAUGUAAACACAACACUGUUCGCCAGAGAACUACAAGUGAAAAACUCAAAACUCAAAGGACUUGGCGGUGCUCCACAUCACCCUAGAGGAGCCUGUCCUAUAAUCGAUACCCCACGUUAAACCUUACCCCCUUUUGCCAUGCAGCCUAUAUACCGCCGUCGUCAGCCUACCUUAUGAAAGAAAAAUAGUAAGCGAAACAGUCAGUGACUAAAACGUCAGGUCAAGGUGUAGCACACAAGGCGGAAGAGAUGGGCUACAUUUUCUACCCCAGAACAUACGAAUGGCACAAUGAAACAAGUCCCCGAAGGCGGAUUUAGCAGUAAGACAAACAAGCAAAGAUGUCUUAAACCCGCUCUGGAGCGCGCACACACCGC